rnacentral:rRNA from 1 species
CACACUUUUCACUGAAACAAGGGGGAAACUCAAAUGGGGGCGUUGGCCCUUGGGGCAGCAGUAAGGAAUCUUGUGCAAUAUACGAAAGUAAGACACAGAGAGGACGUAGUUUACCUGAUCCGUCAAAUUAAGUGCCAGCAGACGCGGUGAAACUUAAGGGUUAGUUUUAUAGGGGAAAGCGUAAAGAGUGUGCGUGGGUCGCUCUGUUAUUAAGAGGGUAAAUGGAAUUUUUUUGUAGUGGUGAUAUAUUUAAAUAGGAAAAAGAACUUUAGAUGUGCAGGCGAUUUACCUCUAAGACUAUAGUGUCGGGGCUAAAAUAUGAGAGUGGGGAAAAUGAACAGGACCUGGCGCCCUGGUAAUCCAUACUGUAAACAAUGAAGGAGUGUGGAGUAGGCCCAAAAGGUAAGAAGUUUUUUCGCUUGAGUAGUACGAUCGCAAGAUUAAAAUUCAAAGAAUUUGGUGGUGUACUGUUUUCAUUAGAGGAGCGUGUUGUUUAAUUCGAUAGUCCGCGAGACACCUUACCCAAAUUUGAAUUCUUUAUUGACAGGUAUUGCAUGGCCGUCGUCAGUUUGUGUAUAAAACAUAAAACAGGUUUAACCCAGUGAUUCAAUUGGAUGAAGUCAGGUCUUAUUGUCCUAAUGUUUGGGGAUUAGAUGCGCUACAUUUUUUUAUAUAAUGGGAGAUUUUAAAGGGGAAACCUUAAAAUAAGAGUUCGGAAGGUCCUUGGAAGAUAGUGGAAAGUUGUAUUUAAUAGUAAUUGAAAAGUAGAGCGUUUCAGUGAAAUUGGUUCAGUAUAAGUACAAAUCGCCCGUCGCCUUUGCUUAAAGAAGUCGUUUGAACGCCCCU